AGCAGUGUUUGCACGAGGGAUACUGGGACCCAAGUGGCUACGGGAUCGUGGGACCAAGUGGCCAUGGGAUUAUAGAGCCAAGUGGCUAUGGGAUUCCCCACUUGGGACGGCCCUGGGGGAUGAUCUAGAGAGGAUACACUUCAUCCUUGUAAGAGGCAGAUCUGAGGUCCUGAGCGGGAAAGUCAUUUACCUCCGAUCACAGAGGCUUGACCUUGAGCCCUACAGGGGCCUCAGGGGCUUGGACUAGAAAAAGGGAGAAAGCCAUGGCUGGUUAAGGAUUGAGUGGCUGUGUGAGUAGAAAGGGUGGAGGUGGCCAGGGAGGCAAUGGUGAAGGGCCUAGAUGUGGUCCCACGCCCCACCCCCCUCUGGUGUUUUGAGGGCGGGGUUGUUAAAAGGUCUGGGAGAAAAAGACCAGCACUUAACCCAUUAGUGGCUGGAGCUGUGCGUCCAUGUCCAGCCCUCUGCAGCAUCCGGAAGGAGUCGGAGAGAUGCUUGUGGCAGGGAAGAGAGGACAAACGGGACAUUGAAGUGACAGCCCAGUAGAGCAAAUGAGGCCAAAGUAGCAGAGGAAGGUCCAUGUGGGGCUUCACCUGAGGGGACACUGGGUAGCCACCUGCCCUCCAGAGCAACCCGAGGGCUGAGGCUUGAGCAGUGUGGCCCAGUGACUAAUUAUCCAACCCAGCUUCCCUCUAGGUCAGGCUGGCCUCAUCCCCGAGACCCUCACCAGACCCUACCCUGGUCCUAUUUGUGCCUGAGACAAUCUUUCGGAAAGCUCUGCUCUUGCGUUUGAGCCGCUCAUUCUGGAUCCUGAGCUCCUGACUCCCUGACUCAUUUGGGACAUGCCUCUGCCACUCCUGGAUUUGGUGCUUGUUCUCAGCUAUGUGGAUUUCUCCCACCCUGGUCCCCGUCACUGUUUAAGCGCCCUCUACUGACAAAGCCUAGCGUUCCACCUGCUGGCAGAGGAGAACUGCUCCCAGGGUCCCGCACCGCCAUCACGAAGCUGGCCAAUGAGGGUGAGUCCGGGGCUGAGAGGCAGCACAUUGACUACUGGCACAGUUUUUCCAUCUGCAAAACUAAGACGACAGAUGAAACAGAAGGGCCAUUUGAAGAGCAGAGGACGGGGUGCAGAUGUGGUCCCUUCCUACUUCUGUGAUCGUCCGCGAGAUUCAAGAAGGCAGCCACCUGCCACGUAGAGGACACUCCGUUUCAGCAGCCACAUGUGGGAUUGCUUUGGUCCCGACGUGCAAACAUGUUUCAGUCCAGCUUCUUGGGAGCUCACAGGAUACUUGGGUCUGGCAGAGUUAUUUUUAUGGGUUCAAGAGAGAAGAAAAUAAAGAGCAACAUCCUCGUGUUGACACGAAA